UGAUCUGAACUGUCCGUAUGAAAUUCUGUUCAGUGAGCGGGGGUCGCGGACAACAUGCAUGUUAAAUUUGGGGUUGCGACUCAAAAAGGUUGAGAACUACUGAUCUAGAUAAAUAGCAGGCUGGUAGUGUAGAAAAUAACUAAGUACAUCUACCCAAUUACUGUACUGUAACAAGUUUGGGAUGCUUUACUUGAGCAUUUCUAGUGUAUGCUACUUUAUACUUCUCCACUACAUUCUAGAUUAAAGUAUUACACUUUUUACUUCACUACAUGUAUUUGACAGAUGAUUUUACAUUACAAAUUAAAAGACUCUGCACGUCUCCACAGGUGUUUUCAAUCACUCUGACUGAUCCUGAAUCUGUUCAGGUGUGUGUUGGAGCCACCAAACAAUAAGCCCUCAGUGAGGGAGAUGUCAAUCAAGUGAAGUCCUAAUAGGUAAUUGAAAUCACCUGUGUGUGCAAGAAGAGAGCUUGUAAAAAGUGUUUUUACACUGUGGUUAACUAAUGUUUAACAUUUCUUUCAGCACUGCAGGAGGAAUAAAGGAGGAUGGACAGAGCCACAUCAGAGGUUUAAUCAGACGGACAAGGAGGAAUCUAUUGUUACAGCGCUGGGUGCUCCUGACCGCACGGCCCAGCUCUCCACGAUCAGAGAGAGGCUAUUAGGAAACAGCUCUGUGGUCAUGAGUGACAGAGCUUCCCACCUGCUGUACUCUCUUCUUUUCAGAAUCGCUGAAGGAUUACUGAGAGAACUUCUCCUCCUGAAGGCCCCUGUCGGGACUCCCC